GAGUGACCUCAAAGUGCUUUGGAGUGACCUCAAAGUGACACAAAGUGACCCCAAAAUGGAGAGGAAUGACCUCAAAGUGACCUCAGAGUGGUCAGGAGUGACCCCUGGGCAUGAGAAUCUCUGCUGGACAUUGAGGGGUGAGGUUGGAGUGACCCCAAAGUGACCUCAAGUGACACAAAGUGACCCCAAAAUGGAAGAGAAAGCUGAAUCUGUGCUGGACAUUGAGGGGGUGAGGUUGGAGUGACCUCAGAGUGGUCAGGAGUGACCCCUGGACAUGAGAAUCUGUGCUGGACAUUGAGGGGUGAGGUCAGAGUGACCUCAGAGUGGUCAGGAGUGACCCCAAAGUGCCACAAAGUGACCCCAAAAUGGAGGAGAGUGAGAGCUUGGACAGUGCUGGACAUUGAGGGUUGAGGUCAGAGUGACCCCAAAGUGAUCUCAAAGUGCUCUGGAGUGACCUCAGAGUGACCUCAGAGUGGUCUGGAGUGACCCCUGGACAUCUGAAUCUGUGCUGGACAUUGAGGGGUUGAGGUCAGAGUGACACCAAUGUUCUCUGGAGUGACCUCAGAGUGACCUCAGAGUGGUCUGGAGUGACCCCUGGACAUGAGGAUCUCUGCUGGACAUUGAGGGGUGAGGUCAGAGUGAC